CCUCUGUCUCCUUUAAACCCAGGUAAACUGAGGCCUGGAGGGCCAGGUGAACCCGGCCAGCCUACACAUACAGCAGGUAUAUCAGAGCACCUGGUCUGCCAGGACUCCCAGGAGGGCCACGAUUUCCUUUUAGACCAGGUACGCAUGCCCCUUCUCGUCCGGGUGGUCCUCUUGGACCAUUAGCCCCAUGUGGACCUGGCUGUCCUCUGUCUCCACUUGGACCAGGACUUGCUGUGACAGACAAGCCAGGAGGUCCAGGGUUCCCAGGUGGCCCUACAAUUCAGACAGAACAGUCCUUGCACUGAUGUCUACAACAGUAUAAAGCAGUUGUGAAUAACUUGUACAGUGGAUCCAGAGCAGUGGAUAUUUACGACAUGCCUGUACGAUCAAUUUCAUAAUUUUAUUACUGUUUAUUUGUUGUGUCACACUUUGUUUGGAUCCACUGAUGAACUACUGCAUAAACAGGCAGGUGCCAAAAGCUUUCACCAGCUGUGACAUAACCUUCCAAGGAGAAUAGACACUUCUAAGUCAUGAGAAUGUUCAAAAGAUGAAAUGAACAAAUCAUAUAUCUUGCCAAAAGAAGUAAAUUGACCCAAGUCCUGAAAAAGGAUAACCUCAUCUACCUGUGACUCACCUGGUUGGCCUGUGUCACCACGUCGCCCCGGAGUCACUUCUGUUAUGACUACAGAAGACAUAUAGAAGGAUAGGUGAGCUUUGGCUUCCUCCAUUAUGUUUGUCAAAUAACAAGGAGACAAUUGUUGCAGAAAAACUAACAACAGUGAGUCCUGGGUCUAACUUCUCAUGUUCAUGUGUCCACAAAAGUCCAUGUGUUGCAAAGUAAAUAAUCUGUCCGUAUUCACGGUGGCGUGCAAGGAGCCUACACAGAUGAACAUGAGCACACCUGUUUGAUUCCACGUGGACUGCACAUGCUCCUAGUAGCACAACACUUCCAAUUGGUGGCUGUUUUUUUGCCACUACUGAUAUGGAAUGUGAGAUUGACUAUGUAUGCCUUAAAUGCUAUACUGAUGCAGACCUGCAUGUGCAUGCCUGUGAAACUGCAAUGUAAUGAGCAGGAUGUGUGCGAGUGUAUUGGGCCACAAAUGCAAGAUUUCACUUACUAUCCCCUUUCUGUCCUGGUGGUCCAGGGAUCCCAUCCCGGCCCUGGUUGCCUUUAGGACCUGGAUAACCACGGGCACCGGGUGGACCUGGGUAACCUGAGGGAAAAGAGAAAUGGAAAAUAUCAGGCUCAGUUUACACAUAAAAUACACUCCAAUUAAAUAUAACAGUUUAAAACAUAAAACAUUAUAUUUUUUUAUAGUAAACACAAUAGUUUGCACUUUUAAAACAUGUGUUUAAUUAUUUUUUAGCUUUUAUGGUAAUGCUAAAUGGUAGAAAAAUUUUAUUUCAAGGGACUUUGCCUAAUGGUCCAUUAGGUCCUGGUUGUCCUUUUUGUCCUGGUGGUCCAUCUGAUCCUUUAGGCCCUUGAUAGCCGGGUGGACCUGGAGCAGAUGGUGUGGAGAGGUCCUGGGUUUCCUUUGACUCCACGGCUUCCUGGUACUCCUACUGUUCCACUGAUACCAGGCUCUCCUUUCUGACCCUUCAUUUCAUAAGUGUUGGCUAAUCCUGGUUCACCCUAAGGAAGG